GCCUCUUCAGCUCGACAGGCCGAGCACCCGCCUCGUAAGCGGGAGGACCGGGUUCGAGUCCUGGCAGGGGAG
rnacentral:tRNA from 1 species